ensembl:lncRNA
UUUUUUUUUUUUUUUUUGAGACGGAGUCUCUCUCUGCCGCCCAGGCUGGAGUGCAGUGGCCGGAUCUCAGCUCACUGCAAGCUCCGCCUCCCGGGUUCACGCCAUUCUCCUGCCUCAGCCUCCCGAGUAGCUGGGACUACAGGCGCCACCGCGCCCGGCUAGUUUUUUUGUAUUUUUUAGUAGAGACGGGGUUUCACCGUGUUAGCCAGGAUGGUCUCGAUCUCCUGACCUCGUGAUCCGCCCGUCUCGGCCUCCCAAAGUGCUGGGAUUACAGGCUUGAGCCACCGCGCCCGGCCACGAUUUAUUAUUUCUCAGGAUUCUGUGGCUUGACGGGUGGGCCCUCUGCUGCUCUGGGUAUAGUUGCAUACACCCUGGGGGUCAACAGGGACGAGGGGUACAGCGGCUAGGUUGCUCUCUGUCCCGUCUUCACCCGAGUGCCUCCACAGCUGGUAAGAUCUCCGGAGCAGGACCUGUAAGGCCUCUACAGAUCACCCCAAAACUUCCUGUCUAAAAACUCAAGCCUCUCAGCGCCCAGGCAUGGCUUCUUGCUACCCUGCCCCCAGGCACAGUCCUGCACUCACCUGCACCUGCUGUGCCACGGCCAGGCCAGUCCCCCACCACCGCCCACACCUCUCUCCACCUUCAUCCUCUUCCCAAUCUGGUCCUCCCACCACUGUGGAAACCCCGUCUGCCCCCAACGCCUAGCUUUGAAAUAAUAAUUCCCUAGAGACCUGUGUCUCUCCCUGCAUCGGCCCCUGCUUCAUUCCUGGGUGCCACCGGCUGUGCAGCUUUUGACGCUGCAGCACCCCCCUUACUUCGGAAGCAGGCUGUCUCCCGGACUGGUGGGUCUCCAUGCUAUCUGGGCCGUCUUCUCUGGCACUCUUGGUCUCUCAGUCCAUCCUGAGAAGCACAGUUCACAAUAGCCACAUGUCCAUCAACAGAUGAGUGGAUAAACAAAACAUGGUCUAGAAUAAUGGAAGGUUAUUCAGCCCUAAAAAGAGACGAAGCUGUUUCUUGCCAUGAUGUAGGUGAACCUCGAGAACAUGAGGUCGUGUGAAUGAAGUCAGACACCGAGGACCACAUAGCAUGUGACUCUCAGUCUAUGAAAUGUGUGUAGUGGAUGGAUUCACAGACAGGAGAUUCAUGGUUACCGGGGACUGGGGGGUAAGAACAGAGGGAUGGGAGUGACCGUGAAAGGUACAUAGUUUCUUUCCCAGAGCCUGAGAAUGUUCUGACAUGACCUGUCCUGUUGGCUUCACAGCUCUGUACACAGCACACACACAAAAAACAUUGAAAUGUACACUUUAUGGAAUGUGAACUGUAUCUUAAUAAAGCAGUUAGAAGACCUUCGAACAUAAGCAUGCGGCCUCACGAGCCCUUUGCCUGGGCACCCUGGCACCUCUCCCAGGCUCUACCUACCUCCAACUCUUCAUCCCUGAGCUCUUGAACAGCGGUAGGCAAACUUUUUCUGCAAAGUACCACAUGGUAAGUAUUUUUGGCCUUGCCGGUCACAUGUCUCUGCCACGAGUCCCCUGCCUUGGGGAGCAA